rnacentral:rRNA from 1 species
UACGAAGGGGGCUAGCGUUGCUCGGAAUCACUGGGCGUAAAGGGUGCGUAGGCGGGGCUUUAAGUCAGGGGGGAAAUCCUGGAGCUCAACUCCAGAACUGCCUUUGAUACUGAAGAUCUUGAGUUCGGGAGAGGUGAGUGGAACUGCGAGUGUAGAGGUGAGAUUCGUAGAUAUUCGCAAGGACACCAGAGGCGAAGGCGGCUCACUGGCCCGAUACUGACGCUGAGGCACGAAAGCGUGGGGAGCAAACAGG